rnacentral:rRNA from 1 species
CCUACGGGAGGCAGCAGUAGGGAAUCUUCCACAAUGGACGAAAGUCUGAUGGAGCAACGCCGCGUGAGCGAUGAAGGCCUUCGGGUCGUAAAGCUCUGUUGUUAGGGAAGAACAAGUACCGGAGAGUAACUGCCGGUACCUUGACGGUACCUAACCAGAAAGCCACGGCUAACUACGUGCCAGCAGCCGCGGUAAUACGUAGGUGGCAAGCGUUGUCCGGAAUUAUUGGGCGUAAAGCGCGCGCAGGCGGUCCUUUAAGUCUGAUGUGAAAGCCCACGGCUCAACCGUGGAGGGUCAUUGGAAACUGGGGGACUUGAGUGCAGAAGAGGAAAGCGGAAUUCCACGUGUAGCGGUGAAAUGCGUAGAGAUGUGGAGGAACACCAGUGGCGAAGGCGGCUUUCUGGUCUGUAACUGACGCUGAGGCGCGAAAGCGUGGGGAGCAAACAGGAUUAGAUACCCUGGUAGUCCACGCCGUAAACGAUGAGUGCUAAGUGUUAGAGGGUUUCCGCCCUUUAGUGCUGCAGCUAACGCAUUAAGCACUCCGCCUGGGGAGUACGGCCGCAAGGCUGAAACUCAAAGGAAUUGACGGGGGCCCGCACAAGCGGUGGAGCAUGGUGGUUUAAUUCGAAGCAACGCGAAGAACCUUAC